rnacentral:lncRNA from 1 species
GUGUUAAACAGUUAAGAAAAAACUUAAUAAAAACACAUCGAAAAUUUCAAAAAUCUGUGCGUACAAAACCUAAAGGUAAGCGAGAUGCUUGGAAAUAUACAAGUUUUUCUGAAGUUUUGACAGUCUUUUAGACCAUGUCUUUGCGACGAAGCAUAAGGAUUGAGCUUGCUGCCAGGGCUUCCGCCGCCACCCGGAAUGAAACUAGUAGCGCCGUCCAGCGUACUGCAACCCACCGCAUAAGGAAGUGGCGUGCUGCCACCGACACCCCAAAUGCUGCUAGUAGCGCCGUACAACGUCAUGCAACCCACCGCAUAAGGAAUCGGCGUGCUGCCACCGCUAUCCGAAAUGCUACUAGUAGCGCCGUACAACGGCCACGGGGCGGUGGCCCCAAGGGACGUCUUGUCCGUGAGCUAAAAGAAAUAAUGCUCAAUCCAACGGACGGUUGCCAUGUGGAGAUCGUUGAAGACGAUAUAACCCACUGGCACUGCAUUUGUCUCGGCCCUUCCAAUUCUCCCUAUGAGGGAGGGCACUUAAUCCAUUAAUCAAGGCUCUUUUCCUUAUUUAAAAAGUAAAGAAUUUGACUUCUAACUUACAAGGUUCUUUUUUGUGAAUUAUUUUGUGUAAAUACCCCAAAAAUAAGGCCCG